UAUGAAUUAGACUGUGCAUGAACAGUGCUUUCAUUUAAAUUAAAAGUCUGUUGGUUUCUGAGUUUACUGGCAGGGAGUCACUUGACAGGGACAUGCUAACUACUUAAAGCCAUAUUCUCUUAUCUUUAUUCUACACUUUGUAAGAGUAGUCUGUUGUUUGGCUUGAAGUGUUUGCAUUUGGUAGACAUAUUGGGUCUUCUCCAGCCUCUGAAUGCAAACAUACGCGGCCAGCUUCAGGCCAGGCUGCAUCACUGAAUGCUCGUCUAACCCGGCGGUGUCAGUCAUUUGUCGGACGUCUUGUAUGUUGCCCGUGUAGUUGUGGAAACAUUGUCUUGCCUUUUCAGAUUAUAGCUAACCAUUGUCACUCGUCCACCAAUUAUGAUGUAUUAAAAAUGUCAUUUUGAAUGAAGACGCACCACGUGACGCACAAAAGCAGCGAUCUACGUAACAUGUUUGUGUCAUAGAAGUGCAUGUCAUGUUUAGAAACUGAAGCUGUCGCCGUAACGCAGCUAGUUGAUUUAGUUGUUGAAACCGCACUACCACCGUUCUCCUCUAACACUCUGCUCCUCAGUGAGAUCCCCUUGAUGUGUGUGUCCACGGCACAGGGAAUGUUUUGAUUUGUGGUCUGUUUUGUCAGCUGUUUGGCAAACGGUUGAAUCAGUCGGAACAGAAUCUCUGCAUGGGGGCCGAGCAGCUCACAGUUGAGGUCUACACACAUAAAAAGCCAGGGCUUUGUAAGGACUUAAGAAGCCAUUUCCCAUCCAAAUAUUACUUGUUGUGAGUUACAUACACACACACACACAUGCUAGGCUAGUUGGGUUUACUUUUCCAGAAUGUUUAAGCUGUUGAGAAUCACAGUGCAAUCCGCUCGUUUUGGUUUUUAGUUUGCUAACUGGAAUUUUUGAGAGGUUCUUGUUACUUGACCAACAUCUUUCUUCGUAACAGCCUUUACUAACUGACAGGUUAUAUUUUUCUUUAUGCAAAAUGUCAAGGGCUUUUGGCACUCCAUCCACAGUAACCCGAAAUGACCCAGAUUUCAGUUGUGUUGCCUUAAAUGAAUGAUUUAAUAAAUAAUGGACUAGUAGAUGAUGCUCUGAGUGUUCCUCUGAACCAUGGUUUGCUCUUUUCCAGCUUCGUGUUCACACCACAGUGUGGGAAAGGGCCUCUGCUGGUGGUUCCAUCAGUUUGAAUGCUAGUGCUAAUGCUUUCUUAGACAUAUAGGGGAUCCUGUAUGACUCCUUCUAGCCCAGCUGGUUCCACACAUAGACUUCAUAAAGGCAUUCUCUUAAAAAGAUGUUGGGGACUGUGGUGUUGUUCUCUUAAUGUUUAAACCAUGGGAAGACAGCUUUAUGCCUCCAGAAAAAUGUAUCCUUAUCUGCAAAGUACACUACAUAUGGGGGAGGAACAGUCAGGCAUUCGUUUCCUGGUCCAUUUAAUACAGCACAACCUGAAUUUUUCUGCUGCAAAACCAAAUUGACCAUGCUCUUUUACAUAUAUGUCUUUGUAUACACAUGCAAUGUAUUUAGUUGCAUGUAUGUAUGAGUAUGAGACCUAUGGUUUUAUCCAUGAUAUGCUUGAUCUAUGGCUUAGACACUCUUAUUAACCAUUAAGAGAUUUAAAAGACAAAUAUGGUGCUAUCGGACCUCAUAUUGGGGUGGUCACAGCUCGUGACUGGUCAUGCGGACUCAUUGAUCAUAUCAUACUUAAAGAUGCUGCAUGUAAGAUUUUCUCUUUGGUGCGUCGCUGUGAAAUGACUCAUGACGGCACAUUUUAUUUCCGAAGGAUCACCAUUAUAAGCAGUAGCCCCAAGAGAAGAGCCUCUGUUCAGUCCAGUGUGGUUGAUUUUGGGAUCAAUUCCCUAUGGGAAAACCAGACAGAUAUUCAGACUCAUGUAACGAAGAAGGAAAAGUUCCAGCAGCAACACGUCACCGGGGCUAUGGAAUGUACUGUUAAUGGUCGUUAUUACAGUUCGGCAGUGAUGCAUUAAGAGAAAAUCCUACAUGUGUUACCUUUACUAUCCUUGAUAUAUGCAGAUCUGUUCAACAGGUGUUUUUUUUUUUUCCUACCAGUGCAAGUCAACACCCCUGCAGGUUUGAAAGGACAAGAAGUCACACGUUAACCUCCUUCCCCUCGAUUCCUCCCGACACUGUGGCCCAACCUCAUGGCCUAGUUUGUCAAGGUGUGAUGCGUGUCGCUCGGUAGAAGGUGGCAGUAGUAGUGGUCGUUGCCUCUCCUGGAAGAUUGGGUGCUGUGUUUACAGAGCACAUCCUUAGUUUUCCUUCUAGCUGCUGAAUCGUUUGACCUCCUCUGAAAGGGCAAGAUUUGAGUUGUUGACUAGAUCGUGUUGUCGAGGCUCUCGCCGCCUCUUUUAAACUAUGUCGAAGGAAAGCAUCUCCUGCAGCGGGACAAAGAGUUAAAGCAGAGUAUAGUCCUGCUUCUGUACUGAUUAACUGUUUAAAGCAUUGAUACCUCAUAGGAUAUUAUGGAACGACAUUUGUAGUUUGUUGUAGCAGAUCGUGUUUUGGUUCCAUACCAGGGUUAGAGUUCAGCCUCAGCAUUCCUUCCGUGGUCAUUCUCAUAUUUCGUGGAAUGCUCAAGCUCAUGUUACCUUCGUAUGUUUGACUGAACCAAAGAUGCCAGCGGCCAUGCCCAAAUGCUGCUCUUCAGGCCUGGCUUCCUGUCCUUCCAAAAAACACCCCUGCAAUUGACAAAAUGUUCUUUGUCUUUUUAUUUGUGCGAUUUCUCAACUGUCUUGACUUAUGAAGCAACCCGAUUUUUUUCAAUGAAUUUUCAUUGAGUCUAUCUCUGAAGCCGUACAUGGCAUCAAGGAUGGUAAAAAUGGUUGCAAAUUGUUGUGACUUGUUUUGUUUAUUAUUAUUAUUAUUAUUAUUAUUAUUAUUAUUAUUAUUAUUAUUAUUAUUAUUGCUAUAAUUUCAAAAAUGAAAAUCCCAUGGUGUGCCUCCUAGCUUUAUGGGUUUAUAAAUGUUUUUUCCCUAAAGACCAGCAGUUAUACUUUGUAUAAAAGAUGGAUUUUUCCUUAUUUUUUAUGCCAUUAAAGAUGAAAAAGCCUGUUUUCUUUACUCUGGACCCAGUAGCUGCACUGGUAUACAAUCGCACUGAUACAAGAGUUAAAAAAAAAGAAUAAGUGAAUCAAUAAUAAUAAUGAUAAUGACAAAUGAAAUAAGAACUACAAUAAACUUGUGUUUGAAACUUUUAUUAUAAAAGCUAUUAAAAAAGAAAAUAAAAAAGAAAAUGACUGUUUUUGUACAUCAAAAUAAAUUCUUUUCAAAAGAAUAUUUUGGAUCUAGUUUCAAAAUUAUUUUAGUGGUUUUCUAUGUUCUAAAUUUUUGAGACACUGACUUCUAAGACGUGUCACUGUACAAAAUGACUUUUUUCUGUUGCAGUGGCCUGAUGGGCUGGGAGGGUUACCUGGUGUAACUCCUCAUACCAACUUUUGUUUCUUUUCCUUUGGAUCUUUUGUUUUUCUUCUGCUUUAGUAACUUGAAAAAUGUUGAUGGAAUAAUAUGAACUGGGAACUUUAAAUCCAUCCCCCUGUAGAGCUAGACCCUUCCUCCUUUCCUAUUGAAUUGCUGUUAGUGUGACGAGACUUGAAAUGGGCAUUUAUUAUGAUAGUAUGACUCCAAAAAAAAAAAAAAAUCACAAAAAAUAUACACAAAAAAAAAAAAUAAAAGAAAAAAAGCAAAAAAUUGCAAAAGAAAAGUGCGGGGAGGGUUGAAAGAAUAUAUAUAGAUGGGUUAUCUGAGUAUGUAAGCAAUGGCUGUGAAGAUAAUGUAGUUUUAAACAUUGUUAUUACCUUUUAAAAUCAUUUAUUCAAUAAAAAAUACAAAAUCAACUGAAAAGACAACACGUGUCCUUCUAUUGUCUUCCACAUCCACAGCGGAGGCUUUCUUCAGUAAAGUCAAUGAUUCAUGCUGGAUAUAAAUACUAUAUUGUCUUUUCAACAUGAUGUAUGAGUGUGUCACAUGUCUUUCCAGGUGAUAGAGCUGCCAUAGUAACAGAUUUCAUCCAGGAAGAGCAAGAUUUCAGUUCCACUCUCUGGCCUCCAAUAAUAGAGCAGGACUGAAUGUUUGGAGUAACUCAACUGAUCUCUGCCAGUGCUCUGGUCUGCUUUUUUCAACACUCAUCUCAAGUACAGAGUCUUUCCAUUUUGUACAACUAAAACACUGUAAAAAGUGAAUGAUUUAACUGUCUUUAAAAAAAAAACAAUUUCAACUGAACAAAAAGAAACUGUAAAUAACAUCCACUUUAAACAUCUGUUUUUACAAAUAGUAAUUUGCCUUUUUACAUUGUGUGACCAUAAAAGUACAGUUUUACUGUAUUUAAAUCAAUAAAAAUAUGAUCUUAGAGAUAGUUGCCACUAUUUGAAAGAAAAUUUUGUAUGUUAAGGAUUAAAAAAAAUGUUAAAUAAUACAAUUCUAUGACAGAUUUUUGCUGUUUUGUUCAGCUACACUGUUAGUUGCUCUGUAAGUACAGCCUUUUGGAGCUCUUAGCAUGGGAGGAGACUCUUAUUUUUAGUGCAAUGUAUUUUUUUUCUUUUCAUACCUGCUGCCCACAAAUGAUGGGGUCAAACAGUUUUAAUAGGGGUGGUCAGGCUGAAACCAUUACUCACAUUGGGUUGACAGAAAUCGAUAUCUUGAAAAUGUUUUCUUCUGCAUGGCAAAUCAUUUAUCCAUUAUCUAUACACUGCUUAAUCCUCAUUAGGGUUGCGGGGGGCUGGAGUCUAUCCCAGCUGACUUAGGGUGAAUGCAGGGGACAGGUAGUCAGCUGACCUCAUUCUUUGGGAACAUAACGUUGCUGAACCUGACCAACCCCAGAUCAUAACCCUAAUCCCCACAGGCUAGUAGGCAUUAGCCAUAAUGAGUGCAUUACUUCAUCUGCCUCUCUUCUUACCCUGAUGCACCCAUCACUCUGGAACAGGGUAAAUUUGGACUCAUCAGACCACAUGACCUUCAUUCAUUGGCUCCAGAGUCCAAUCUUGAUGUUACCGAGAGCCUUUUUUCCCCAAUUAGCCUCACUGAUCAGUGGUUUUCUUAGAGCUACACAGCUGUUUAGUCCCAAUCCUUUGAGUUCCCUUCGCAUGUGCGUGUAUAAAUGCUCUUACUUUCACUAUUAAACAUAGCUGUUAGUUCAACUGUUUAUUUAAUACGAUCAUCUAAGAGUUUGUUCAGACCGCAUUUGUUCCUCGAAGAUGAUGGUUCACCACUAUCCUUCAGGCUUUAAUAAUGCGUUGGAUGGUUCUUAACCUGAUUUUAGUAGUUUCAGUUGUUUUCUUUGCUUCAUGCAGGCCAACAUAGUCCUUCUGAAACAGAUUAACAUCCUUUCCAUGACCACAGGAUAUGUCUUCCAACAUGGUUGUUUAAGAAAUGAGAAGAUCCUCACUGCAUCAGCUAGGGUUAAAUAAGCUGUUGCAGCUGAAACGCAUUCAUCACUGCAGUAAUUAUCCAAUGGAAGGCUCCUACCUAUUUGCUUAGUUAAAUCCAAAUGGGUCUUUCUUUUUGGACAGGCAGUGUACUACUACCAAGUUCUACUGAUAUAUGUUUCUGAACUGAUGUGGAGAGUUCUAAAAAAGUACAGGCAGCAAAAAUUGCUGCAUUAGUAGGAAGUAACUGACCGUAAACUUUUAAAGUGCACUCUGAAUCUACUGUGCUUAUUUCAUAUCACGGGAGCAUCAUCUUUACAUAUCCUAGGACUUCUAGUAUGUUGAGCUGCAUACAUUACCACUGAUCCCUCUAAGCUGCGCGCGUGUGCAAUUGCGCACUGCUGACACCGUCUCCGCGCACAGAAAAUCUGCGCUGCGCACAAAAAAAAAAAAAAAAAUCCAACCAAAAUUGUAAAUAAAAUAAACACAUAACAAUUCAUUCUGUGCUAUUUUUCAAUGUGAGUCAGUGAGUGACCGGUGACUGGCUGCUGCAGCCAAUGAUGCGAUUCACAUACGUAUUUACCAUAGACUGUAUAUAAUGGUAUUUACGUAGCUAAUCAACGUCAGGCGUCCUUAUGUGCAGCCACCGUUGUUCUCAUAAAUAUGAAUGAGUAGAUAGGACACGCCCCUUUGAGCUGCGUACUACGGCGAGGCUAAGCUAGUGGGGGUAAAGUUUCAGUGCAUUCCGUUGAUGUAGACGGCGUGAAAACGGAAACAACAAGUAUGCCGGCUCACUGUGCUGCAUACAAUUACACACUACGUCGUACGAUUGAGACAAGGAAACUUGGAAUGACUUUUCAUAGGUUUCCCAGAGACUAUGGGUUGAGGAGGAAUUGGAAGUUUGUCGGCUUAGACCUGUUGUCAUUCCAUCAGUGUUAAACUUCCUGGCUCAUCUUGGAAGAGUACAUGCCAGAAAGACCACGACCAAGCAGCCUUGAGAUCUUAGGCAGCGUCUCCCUGAGAACGAUUCAAAGGUCCCUCUCUAUCUCCCUACACAUCCACCAACCACUGAAAUACAUCUCCAAAGUUCUGCCGGGCCAGCUCAGCUUCCCCUCAGAAGAAGUUCCACCAGAUGAAGGAGCCUUUUGAGAGGCAGCUGGCAUCGUGAUUGGACUGUACUUUGGUCUGUUCCAUUCCAGCUUCAGCUCCAGAGACGGCAGGCGGGACGAGUCAACGGAGGCCGGGUGGACGAAGGCAUGCAGCUGAGUACAAUCCAGAAAACAACAGAGGAGGAGUGCAGCGGCCCAGAGCCAGAACAAACAGAGUAGCAUCGUAUGUCUCUUAGAAAACAUCAUAGUAUAGCCUUUGCUGUGAAAAAACGCCAUCAUAUACAUCGUAUAUUGUACAAAUAACAAGUCAAAGGAAAGAGACAUACAUUGUAGAAUUGUAGUAAUUGUGGGCUGACUGAUUUACUGAUUAUCAGUAUUUUAUUUUUUACUGGUUAACGGUAAUAAAUACAUUUAAAAAUGGU